rnacentral:misc_RNA from 1 species
GUAGGUGAACCUGCGGAAGGAUCAUUACCAUAUCCAAAAAACUUUACCAACCCACCGUGUGAACUGUUUUCUUUUUGCUACACUUGGGGUGAGCCGGCCGUUACCCAUGGCCUAAUCUACAAACAUUGGCCUGGUGUCAUGUUUGGAGUGGGCUAUGCGAUGAGGGUUGGGUUGCCCCACCUGUGCGAAAAUUUUCAAAACAACCCCUGGUCAAACCAAAAAAUAUACCCACUCUGAUCUAAUUUUUUUU